rnacentral:lncRNA from 1 species
CAUCUAGGUUGUAGAUGAUUGUGUUCCAUACAAGUAUAUAAAUUAUAAAAUGAUAAAUAUUAUCUGACAGAUUCAUCAUAAGGAAUAUAUCUUCUAAAAUAGAACUUAUAUGUUAUGAUGAAGUCUUUAGAGCUACUUUCAAAAUAAUAAAAGAGAAUUUAUCAUGUGGUUCUUAAAUUCUGCUCGUGAUCAAAUAAUACAAUUGUCAUAAGGACGAUAAUUGUAUCGAGUAU